rnacentral:rRNA from 1 species
AUGUGCCCCUGGACUCCUUCAAGGUUUGGGGUGCAAAUCUGCGACUUGUCGGUGCCGAUCAAGACCGAGGAGAUGGGCCGGAUCCUUGGGGACAAGCUCGGUAUGGUUCUGGCGGUGUCGCAUCGGAACAAGCAGAUAGUCGACGAGCAUCUCCGAGUCCACGUCAUUCACCAAGUAGACGAGCCACUCAAGAAGACCGCGACAUCAUCCAUUAUUGUGGGACACACUACGGCUAAAUUCUGUAGCAUACCAAAAGUGUUGCGCAAGGCGAACUACUCCACUGGCAUCAAGGCGCCGCCAUUCUGGAAGAAAAUCCAACGGCACCUCGACUUCGAGGGGCUGUUGGGUUCCCCUGAUCAUGAGGAUUCUUGGAAGAAGGCCAAGCUGCUAGACAAUGUGAUAACUGUGGUCACUACAGCAGUGAAAAAUCUGUCUGUGGCGGCUGCUCCGCUGCUUGCUUCAUCGGAUGGGGCUUAG